rnacentral:rRNA from 1 species
GGUCACAUCAUUUUGAAACAUUGGUUCCUGUAUGAUCACCAAAAUUAAGCAACAUUGAACCUGGUUAGUACCAAGAUGGGUGACUGCUUGGGAAUACCAGGUGCUGUAAG